GGGGGACGUCAUCGGCCCUGAAGAAAGAGCGUAAUCAUAAACAUCCCGGCGCUGUUUCCAGAAGCACGGCCUCCUGGCGCUUCGGGGGCUUAAUGACGCCAGCAGAACAAGUGGCAAUUUAGAGGCGCUCGCUGUAACUCCCCCCCCCCCGGUCCACAUGCUAACGCCAUAUAUAGAAUAUAAUAUACUACUCGUUAGCUGUAGUGCUAAACUAGCGUGGUUCCCCUGCAGCCUGGUCGUGUGUCUGCUCACUUCAAGCUUGUGGCCUUUUACCGUGAAAUGAACCACGAGGAGAUAUUACGCUCAGAACAAAAUCAGCUGGAAUCACAUGCAACACAAACUAACGGCUGUUGGAGAGUUUACGCUGCUUCCCUCUCGGGGGGUUCCAUCCUUGUAUGUGUAGAGAGUCCAAAUGGCUUUUGGUUUGAUGGCUCUUUCUUUCCCUUCACUUUGUAAUGUUUUAUACAGUAUUCUUAAAGAUCCUCAGUAUGGACCUUCUGCCUCCACCUCCUCACUACGGGGUGAAAUAUAUCAGUUAUAAAGAAUUUCCAGCCGUAUGAUAUUUACAGAUUUGUUAUUGCGCCAGAAAGAAGAAUGAAGGGAAAUGUUCCAAAGGGGAAGCAGGUUGUCUUCAAGCGUUCUUUCAUCUGCAAACUUUAGAAAGGACAACAGAGGUUUUGUGUUACAGAAACACAUAUAUUUGUAUCCCUUUGACUAUCUAACGGCCUUGAACGUAUUUCUUGGGCCUCUUUGUCCUCCAGUCUCAUUUAGUAACAAAAGUGUCAGGUCUUAUAUCACCUCCCUCUUGUCUUAUCUGCCGCCUUUUUCACUGGACCAUUGAAGACGUCGUCUUUUCUUCCUCUACUUCGCGGUGAGAUGAUCUCUCCCUUCAACAAAUAUUUGUGGAACUCAAUUUGAGGGGUUAGUUCUUGGGUAACAAAUAAGCCUAUUUUAUAUUUUAGACCUCUUAUCUAGCGGCUUGGAGAGCUGGUGUGUGUGUGUGUGUGUGUGUGUGUGUGUGUGUGUGUGUGUGUGUGUGUGUGCGGUCAUGAUCCUGCCCAGCAGUGUAGACUGAUUGGAUGGGAGGGUUUUGUGUCACUGUUUGUUCUGGUUAAUGAGCGGAAGGAAGGUGAGCCAAUACAAUACACACACUGUGUCAACAGAGGGACACUGUCAGGGCCGCGUGUGUGUGUGUGUGUGUGUGUGUGUGUGUGUGUGUGUGUGUGUGUGUCCUCAUAUCCCUCCUCGAGCUGAUUAGUAGUCGGGUCUUUAAGUAAACAGGCGGCUAACCAGCGGAGGAAUCUAACCUGUGGACGGAAGGAAUUCUCCAUCCAUCACUGACGGAGCGUUGAGAUGGAUCCGUUUCACACGCAGUAAAAACCUUCUCCAGAGCGCUGCUGCAGAGUAAUGUUUCCGCUGCAGAGUAAUGUUUCUGCUGCAGAGUAAUGUUGCUGCAGAGUAAAGUUUCUGCUGCAGAGUAAUGUUUCUGCUGCAGAGUAAUGUUUCUGCUGCAGAGUAAUGUUUCUGCUGCAGAGUAAUGUUGCUGCAGAGUAAAGUUGCUGCAGAGUAAUGUUGCUGCAGAGUAAAGCUGCUGCAGAGUAAAGUUGCUGCAGAGUAAAGUUGCUGCAGAGUAAAGCUGCUGCAGAGUAAAGUUGCUGCAGAGUAAUGUUGCUGCAGAGUAAAGCUGCUGCAGAGUAAAGUUGCUGCAGAGUAAAGUUGCUGCAGAGUAAAGCUGCUGCAGAGAAAAGCUCACUUUCUCCUUCAGCGCGCCUGUUUCAACAAGAGAAAAACCAUCUAAAACUCAGUCAGAGUCAUCCGACCUAAAGACAUUUCCUGACCUCUGCCUCGUCUACGAGCUUUGGCAUCAUUGCAUAUUUCUUUUCCCCAAAAUGGAUGCUUGUGUUUUCUCUGCAACGCUUCGUAUAGUUAUUCAGACGCUGAUUAUUUAUCCGGCCGGUGAGAACUCCGUGACGGCGACGUUCCCUCGGAGAUCAAGGGUGGCGUCUCAGAGACUUUGUCCAAACUUAAAGAAAGUAAACAUCUUCAGAAGUCAGGGGGGACUCGGCUUCUCAUCUCGGAGUCGUACGUCGCAUCUAAUUACACUCGGUCCUCUCCUCCGACUCACACAUGAAGCUUCAAAUCAAGUGUCUCACCCAGGGGAGCGAGGCCACUCUUCAUUUAAAUAUGCAUUUACUUGCCAGCGUCAAAGGGAUGUUCAGGAGGACUUGUGGGUUACAAGGAAACUGGGUCACGUUGAUUAUUAGCAAAUACAGAAUGAGGCGCUGGGAAAAUGAAGACCAUGUUCUGUAUGUCUGUGCCAGCGGGGGGGGGGGGGUCGUUACACCUGCAGCAUCACAUCGAACGCUGCUCCCAUCAGCACCACACUCCAUGGAAGAUCCUCCCAUCUGCAUCCUUUUAAUCUUCAUCAAUCCUAUUUCUUUGUUUCACUUGGGCCAUAGAAGUCAUGAACCUCUGAGUGUCAUUUUCCUGCAAUCACCAACAGCAAUGACACGCUGGACACCAACCGGUUCCUUCUCACUACCUGACGGCCGCACAGGUGAGACACACGUUGUGCAGUUCGUGCCCCACCACGACACGAGCUAACGUCAAGCCGCGCGCCGCGAACGCACUCGGGACCGACGGCGAGAGUCUGAGAAGACGGCGAGGCCAAACUUCCCAUGAGGCGCUCACAAAGACAAACAUUUCAGAGUUUUACAGCACGGCUCAGUAACCCUGUGAGAAACCCCCCUCCUCCUCUCCUC
ensembl:lncRNA